UACGGAGGGGGCAAGCGUUAUCCGGAAUUAUUGGGCGUAAAGAGCGCGUAGGCGGUCCGAUAAGUCGGCUGUGAAAGUCAGGGGCUCAACCCUUGAAAGCCGGCCGAUACUGUCGGACUAGAGUCCGGAAGAGGCGAGUGGAAUUCCCGGUGUAGCGGUGAAAUGCGCAGAUAUCGGGAGGAACACCUGCGGCGAAGGCGGGUAGCUGGGCCGACACUGACGCUGAGGCGCGAAAGCCAGGGGAGCGAACGGG
rnacentral:rRNA from 1 species